GACGAACGCUGGCGGCGUGCUUAACACAUGCAAGUCGAACGAUGAAGGAGAGCUUGCUCUCCGGAUUAGUGGCGAACGGGUGAGUAACACGUGACUAACCUGCCCCUUUCUCUGGGAUAACGCUCCGAAAGGAGUGCUAAUACCGGAUACGAACUCUGAACACAUGGUCGGAGUUGGAAAGUUUUUCGGAAAAGGAUGGAGUCGCGGCCUAUCAGGGUGUUGGGGAGGUCAUGGCUCACCAAGGCGACGACGGGUAGCCGGCCUGAGAGGGCGACCGGCCACACUGGGACUGAGACACGGCCCAGACUCCUACGGGAGGCAGCAGUGGGGAAUAUUGCACAAUGGGCGAAAGCCUGAUGCAGCGACGCCGCGUGAGGGAUGAAGGUCUUCGGAUUGUAAACCUCUUUCAGUAGGGACGAAGCGAAAGUGACGGUACCUAAAGAAGAAGCACCGGCUAACUACGUGCCAGCAGCCGCAGUAA
rnacentral:rRNA from 1 species